AACCGCCGCCCCUUCUUUUCUUUUCUUCCUCUUUCGUUCGACGUCGACGGUCAGGCCAAGCCAAACCGCAGCUGCAACCGUCGGCCGCCGUCUUUGUUGCGAAGCAAGGCCGCUGCGUGACCUUCCGCCCACCGCCGUGUGACCCUCUGUCCAGUUCUGCACCGCUAGAUCGAGCCGUCCACCGGUUUCGUCUAUUUCUGUCUCCGUUCACCGAAGCCGAACCCAACCGCCACCCUUUCUUUUCUUCUUCGAUCCAAAAACUGCCGCUGCAACGCGUCAGCCGCUGCGUGACCUCUGCCCAGCACCGCCGCGCAGCCUCUGUCUCUGCGCCGUUACCCAGAUCUGCGUCGCCGUGCCCCGUCCUAAUCGUCUCUGUCUCUGUCGAAGUUUUGUUGGUAAGAUUGAAGUCAUGAAAUUGUAGUCGUUUCCAAAACAAUUUAAGUAUGGGUUGUUAUGUUUUCAAGGUGUUCAAACGUUACGGAUGGGUUAAUUGACUAAUUUGAUAAAUUAUUCUUGAAGGUGUGAAAGGUAACUUUGGAUCACUUAAAUUCACAACCAAUUUGUGAAUUGUUGAGGGUUCAGUUCGCCAAUAUAUCGGUGAGUUGGAACUUACGUUGAGGAAAGUAAGUGAGAUAUGUAUCGUGAAAGUAAUUGAAUUUUGUGUUGUUGUGCUUAGGAUUGUUUCGAGGACGUUAGUUGAUUAAGGAGCUUCCCCAACUUUGAGGUAAGGGACUUUCUACUGGACUCACCUAAAGUUUUUUGAGUUGUGUUGGACUGUAUGGAUGAUGAUUAAGAUGUACAUGUUUGGUUGCAGACUAAAUGUUUAGUGUAUGUUGUAUUUGACUGGAAACAUAUAUAUAUAUACAUUGAUGUGUGAAUUGAUGUGGAUUGCCGAAAGUAUACAUGUGAAUGACUGAAAUUAUGCUUAUGUGUACAUGAUGAUAUUAAUAGAUUGUGCUGUAUAAAGAUUUGGAUGUGAACUAGUGAAUUUGUUUCGGUUGGAUGUGGAUUAUACUGAACUGUGGUUUGUGCUGGUGAACUGAGGGGUGUAUUGACUGUAUAGUUUGAUUGACUGACGUAUUAGUAUAUUAUUGACAGACAUAUGACUAAAGUGAGAUAAGUUGACUGUUAGGACGUUGAGAGAAAGAACUUUAUGUUUUGAAGUAACUGAAAGAUGGAUUGAAUGGAAUGAGGGGAUAAAUUGUUAGAUUGUAUUGGGAUGUUUACCUUGUAGGUGUCCCACGGGAUCACCAAUUUAUUUUGCACCUUCGGGAGCAUUUGACUGAUAUGUGUUUCUGCAGAACACUAGACUGAUAUGUACGUCCCUCGGGGCGUUAGACUGAUAUGUACGUCCCUCGGGGCGUUAGACUGAUAUGUACGUUCCUCGGGGCGUUAGACUGAGAUGUGUAUCCUACGGGAUCACAAGACUGCGACUGUACAGGGUGUCCCAAUAGAACUUUAACAAUUUAUUUUCCCCUGACGAGACCAGUAGAGGGUCUCUUACUGAGUAUUGUUAUACUCACCCUUCUUAUGUUUAAUUUUCAGGCAAAGGAAAUAAAGGUGGCAAACCGGCGAGGGGCAGGAAGGAAGCGUGAUUGUCAUAGGAAAUGUGUCAUUUUGCU
rnacentral:lncRNA from 1 species